AGAAGCUUGCUUCUAUGACGUUAGCGGCGGACGGGUGAGUAACACGUGGGCAACCUGCCUGUAAGACUGGGAUAACUUCGGGAAACCGAAGCUAAUACCGGAUAGGAUCUUCUCCUUCAUGGGAGAUGAUUGAAAGAUGGUUUCGGCUAUCACUUACAGAUGGGCCCGCGGUGCAUUAGCUAGUUGGUGAGGUAACGGCUCACCAAGGCAACGAUGCAUAGCCGACCUGAGAGGGUGAUCGGCCACACUGGGACUGAGACACGGCCCAGACUCCUACGGGAGGCAGCAGUAGGGAAUCUUCCGCAAUGGACGAAAGUCUGACGGAGCAACGCCGCGUGAGUGAUGAAGGCUUUCGGGUCGUAAAACUCUGUUGUUAGGGAAGAACAAGUACAAGAGUAACUGCUUGUACCUUGACGGUACCUAACCAGAAAGCCACGGCUAACUACGUGCCAGCAGCCGCGGAUUUAAUCCGUAUAGGGUGGCAAGGACGGUUAUUCCGGAAUUAUUGGGCCGUAAAGACGCGCGCAGGCGGUUUUCUUAAGUCUGAUGUGAAAGCCCACGGCUCAACCCGUGGAGGGUCAUUGGAAACUGGGGAACUUGAGUGCAGAAGAGAAAAGCGGAAUUCCACGUGUAGCGGUGAAAUGCGUAGAGAUGUGGAGGAACACCAGUGGCGAAGGCGGCUUUUUGGUCUGUAACUGACGCUGAGGCGCGAAAGCGUGGGGAGCAAACAGGAUUAGAUACCCUGGUAGUCCACGCCGUAAACGAUGAGUGCUAAGUGUUAGAGGGUUUCCGCCCUUUAGUGCUGCAGCUAACGCAUUAAGCACUCCGGCCUGGGGGAGUACGGUCGCAAGACUGAAACUCAAAGGAAUUGACCGGGGGCCCGCACAGGCGGUGGAGCAAUGGUGGAUUUAAUUUCGAAGCCAAACCCGCCGUAAGAACCUUACCAGGUCUUGACAUCCUCUGACAACUCUAGAGAUAGAGCGUUCCCCUUCGGGGGACAGAGUGACAGGUGGUGCAUGGUUGUCGUCAGCUCGUGUCGUGAGAUGUUGGGUUAAGUCCCGCAACGAGCGCAACCCUUGAUCUUAGUUGCCAGCAUUUAGUUGGGCACUCUAAGGUGACUGCCGGUGACAAACCGGAGGAAGGUGGGGAUGACGUCAAAUCAUCAUGCCCCUUAUGACCUGGGCUACACACGUGCUACAAUGGAUGGUACAAAGGGCUGCAAGACCGCGAGGUCAAGCCAAUCCCAUAAAACCAUUCUCAGUUCGGAUUGUAGGCUGCAACUCGCCUACAUGAAGCUGGAAUCGCUAGUAAUCGCGGAUCAGCAUGCCGCGGUGAAUACGUUCCCGGGCCUUGUACACACCGCCC
rnacentral:rRNA from 1 species